UACGUAGGCAGCGAGCGUUGUUCGGAGUUACUGGGCGUAAAGAGUGCGUAGGCGGUUUUCUAAGUUUGGUGUGAAAUCUCCCGGCUCAACUGGGAAGGUGCGCCGAAGACUGGAAGACUAGAGUGUGGGAGAGGUAAGCGGAAUUCCUGGUGUAGCGGUGAAAUGCGUAGAUAUCAGGAGGAACACCUGCGGUGUAGACGGCUUACUGGACCACCACUGACGCUGAGGCACGAAAGCGUGGGUAGCAAACAGG
rnacentral:rRNA from 1 species